rnacentral:rRNA from 1 species
UACGGAAGGGGCAAGCGUUGUUCGGAAUCAUUGGGCGUAAAGGGUGCGUAGGCGGGUCUUUAAGUCAGGGGUGAAAUCCUGGAGCUCAACUCCAGAACUGCCUUUGAUACUGAGGAUCUUGAGUCCGGGAGAGGUGAGUGGAACUGCGAGUGUAGAGGUGAAAUUCGUAGAUAUUCGCAAGAACACCAGUGGCGAAGGCGGCUCACUGGCCCGGUACUGACGCUGAGGCACGAAAGCGUGGGGAGCAAACAGG